AUUUGAUGAUGUGGGCAGCUUGCACACAACUUUUUGAAACGCUCCCAAUACUCAUAUAAAGUUUCUCCAUUCAGUUGGCGAAUGCCACAUAUGUCUUUUCUUAUGCU